AUGCAAGUAGGUUGGAGGUCUCCUCGGGCAGAGCCGUAGGACUGAUGGGUGCAGGCUGGCUGUGCCUGCUGGGCUCGAGUCUGGAUUGCUAAUGGUGGCUGUUCAGUAUCCACCUUAGUUCCCAAUGGGUUGGAAAGUGCUUCGUGAUGUGGCACACAUACACCAUUCCCCUAACGACGGAACCGAAGUAUUUCAUCAACACUUGCAUGUUUUGACUCUGCAGUUUGCAGGUGCAAAGUUUCUCACUGAAUGGGAGAGUAUUUGUGGCAGGAACCAAGACUGGAAGGGCUGAGGUAGGUGAGGAGGGGAAGGCCCCAGGGCUCCUCAGGAGAGGGGUGGCACACACAGAAGCCACAACACAUGGGGUUUGUGUUGCAGGCGGAUGGCUGAGCGCAGAGCCGAAAGGUGGUGAUGCUCACACAGCCCCGCGUGAAGGCGGGAUGCAAUUAGUGCAGAACGUCUGCUUCAAUAAAUCACCGCAAAAAGCGCUGCGCUCAGGGAAGACUGCUGUGGGACUGAUGGGGGCAGGAGAUGCCCCGGUCAGUGGUGUCCAUGUGAGUUGCAAGAAGGAAGGAAAGAACGGAGAACAGAGAUCGGAGACCAUCAACAGACGUUUCAGAUACUGACACCAACAGCACUUCUGAGAGCUGCGUGGCCUGAGGAGCAGUGUAAGAAGAUGGCUGGAAAUACGGCCUGCCUCCUGCUCCCACCUGAGGGUGGGCUGAGGAGGACACAAUGGGCUCUGUGGUUCCGAGAUGAGAGAGAAGAGUAGCAAAGGGGAUUAAUCAGGCCGAAGAAUCUGGCUGCAAGGCAUCCUGACGGUGACUGGAGCAGCCUGUGCUGCUGAACUGGUUCUUCUUCGCUCAUCACAGCUUCAGGGGAGGUCUUGCAGGAAUCUAAGAACACUUCAGGAAAGAGCUGAACUCUGGGCUGGCUGCACAGAGCCCAGGGAGCUGAGACGACGGCAGGAAACCUACAGACCACAGCAGUGUUUGUAGUGCUCAGCCUCUGGACACAUCCUGGGGCUUCCUUAUGCCUCAAGGCUAGCUAACCACUUGAAUGAGGAGGGAGCUUUUCCUGCUUGCUCUUUAUUCUUUGGAUCCUCCCUGGACUCAGCCUGUGCUGGCAGCACUGUGGUGCCGCAGCAGCUUCAGGAACGCCUCUGACAGCCCCAGAGCUGCGAGGGAGCAGCUACUCUGCAUGCAAGGAGGAGCACUGCGUCUCCUGAGCCCUCACUUUAAGUCAUGCAAACGGUGUUUGGAUGUUUCUGAGCCUUGAAGUGCCUCCUGUCUCCCACCUCACAUCCUUCCUGACAGCUCCCUGCUCCUGUGCUGGAGGAUGUGUGCUGACAGAGGAAAAGUACUGUUGUCUUCCUGAGACCCUCCAAUAGGGAGAGCGGGUGUUGGGGAAUAGAUUUGCAGGGCAGAGGGCAGGGAACAGCUCCUGAAUGUGCCCCCACACCAUUCCAAAGAAGCCAGUACUGAGGGAUAGGGAAUUAGUUGGUUCCUUUUCACUCAUAGCCCUCACUGAGCAAUACCUGCAUGGGAUAUUACCACCCCACCAGCUCACUGCAUCCUGGGGCACCUCCAUCUCCUGUGGGAGUGGGCUGGGCACGCUGGGCAUGAGCUGCUGCCACAAGAGUCUGCUCUGUGCCAGCAGCAAGCGGCCACCAUCUGCAGCAGGGAGGGAGGCACAGAGAGGGGAAGCGAGCUGCCAUUUCCCAUUGCCAUCGUGGUCAUGCAUUUAGUACUGCCAUAUGAGAUACCCUUUCCACUGGGAACUGUCGCCCUGGGGUGUGAGCUGUACAGUGCCUGCAUGGAACCAGGGAACUGCUGAGUCACGGCCUGAACCACUGAUGGAUCACCUGGGGAAAGGACCCGGUCAGCCCUGGGAGCACAGGUGAAGGCAAUUCAUGUGUGUGACCAGAAGGGGUGGAGCCUGACUGCACCUCUCUUAGACCUCAUUUCAGGGCUGACUGCCACUGGGGAAGGAUGGUGUUCUGGAGAUCCCUCCUUGGUGAAGCUUUGCCCUGUGAACCUGGAAUCUUCUGAG
ensembl:lncRNA